UCUGCAAUGCGCUGGGCAUGGCUCAAACACCGGGCUGGGUUGCCCGGGGUCGCAGGCCCCGCCAAAAAAAAUAGAGCUCUGAGGUGGGUCUGAGGCAAAGCUGGUCACCGGCGAGGAGCGGCGACGCGGCCAAGCCGAGGGAGCGUGCCCUGGUUGGUAAACAGGGCCCUCAGCACUGACGGCCCCUCUGGCAUUUCCCUUCCCGCGCACCGCGCGCUCGGCAUGCGCCGCUGCCCGCAAACGUUCCGUGAGGCAUGGCUGAGGGGUAGGGGCACACGAGCUUUGUGUGCCUUUCAGCCUUCAGGGCUUGGCUUUGGUCUCCUUCUUUCAAUCCACCCCGGCCUGGCCGGACGCUGUGCCCGCAAGGGGAGCGCCACGCCGGCCUUCAGGCCCGCCCGGCCUCAGGGAGGCCGCGUCCACUCACAUGCUGCUUCCCCAGCAGCAGCUCCCACCAUCGCAGCUCGGCCCCCUGCACCUGUGAAAUCCCACUCCCACACUCAAAGGAAAGAUUUUACUCGCGCUUCCACACCGAGCUUAGAACACAUGGAAAAGGCCCAGAGAUCACUGAUGUCAGAGGCUCAGUGCGACCUAACGAACACUUGAGUGCCCACUGCUGGGGAAUGACUGACCCAUAGUGAACUAAUAUGAUAUCAUCUUGUCAACUGCAGAAUAAAACCAGAAAAAGUCAUCUGGCUUCCAGGAGAAGAAGUUGUGUCACUCAUGCAAGUAUCUUUAAUAUUUACUCAGAAAUGUAUAUACUG